ACUGCUGGGCACAAGGAUCUGCUUGAAGGAGAUCCUUACUUGAAGCAGAGACUGAGACUACGUAACUCUUACAUCACCACACUCAAUGUCUGUCAAGCUUACACACUGAAGAGGAUCCGUGACCCGAGCUACAAUGUGACUCUACGACCUCACAUCUCUAAGGAGAUUGCUGAAUCGAGCAAAGAACUCAUCGAGCUUAACCCGACGAGCGAGUACGCGCCUGGACUUGAAGAUACACUCAUCCUGACCAUGAAGGGUGUCGCUGCUGGUCUACAGAACACCGGUUGAGUAAAAAAAAACAGAGAUGAGCCUCUCUGUUUCUCCACACUCUGCUUUUUUUUAUCUACGGAUUCAAAAAUAAUAAAUUAUUGCGGUUGGGUUUAUUGGUUUGUUUAUGUAAAUCCACCGUCAAAGUGUUGAUCUUUGUGUACGAAUUACUCUUUCGAGAUUAUGAACACAUGCUCUGUUUUUUUAUUUAUCGAAUGUAACAAAACCGAGCAAGGGAAUCUCAUUCUUGUUUGUUUGUCUUUUACUUAACCUUCUUCCUCUUUACGGAUCGUUGCUAUUUGAUUUCGGUUUGGUUUGUUCUAAACCGGAUAAUAAUAAAUAGUUUUUGGUUUAGUUUUUUGCCUCAUAUGCUUUCGUUUGUCUCGACUCAAUAACAUACAUGUCGGCUGAGUAUGUGUAUGUGGUGGUCCCGAGAAACGACAGACAUGUUUGAGAAAAGAGGCCGUUGAAGAAGGAAAGUAGUGGUGCAAGAAAACGACGUGGUGUUUGGGUCUUGUCUAUAGACACGCCUUGCAUUUUUUUAUUCUGUUACGCCUCAACGGUUGUAUUUAUUGUGGGGAAUUUAUUAUAGUGUACACUGUACGUGUAUCUGUUUUUUUUAACUAAAGCGUACUUUAUGCGUAAUUAACUCUUAAGUAAUCAAGUACGUUUUGGAUUUCACUCUCAAAUGUAAAAAAGUCCACAACUCGAAAGCCGGUGUCUGUAAACCACGCGCCUCCACUGGUUUUGAAGGUGGAAAAAUAAUAAGAAAAUGAGAAAUUUUAUGAAUAGGCUUUUCUGAUAUUUUAUGAAGACGACCAAAAAUAUUAUCCACUAAAGAAAGGAUAAAUACGUGUCAGUGGACGAGGAAUACAAGGCACCGACUACAGCCGGCGCAAUAUAGCACCGCCCAACCACCGUAAAGUCCAUAACCUUCCUACCUUUUUUUAUUUUAAAAAUAAUUUUGGGUUUCUAGUUAUCUUUAUUGUUGGGCGUUAUGUUCAUAAUUAUCCCUUUACAACAACUUCUUAGUUAAAAACUAACUAAAAGGAGCUUUGUAUGGUGCAUAUUGUAUUCUCUUUUCUUUUCAAUCCCUUGAAGAGAGGGCAACUAACACAUUAAGACCAAAAGCAUUAGCUAAAGUUGCUUGCAUUAACAAACUAAAUCAUUCUCUAAUAAAUCCGUAUCUCCUUUUUGUAGUUGGUAACGACUAAAGUAUUUUUUAAAAUUAACUUUUAAAUCGGUCACCUAUCUCCCUUUUUCUUUGGUUGAAAGUUUAUAAUACAGUCAAAUAUACUCAUUCAUUCCGUUUUAUAUUAAGUGUCGUUGUAGAGAAAUUUCGACUUUCAAUAAAAAAUUUAUUAAUUUUAUUCAGCAAUUUAUUUUUGUAUUGGUUGAAAUAUAAUAAAACGUAUAGAUAAUUGUGUUUUUAUAUAGAAAAUAUACAAAAUUAAUUGUUUCCUUAGUCGGUGUGCAUAAACCCAAAACGACCCUUAAACAGAAAAAGUAGUAAUUAAUGAUAAAUAUAGAACUAUAUCUAAAUUCAUUUUUUAUAUCAUACAGGUAUACAUAUUUCAGUAAACUCAUUUUCCUAGAAUAUUUUUAGAUUUAGUUAGUUAUACAUGAAUUUGUGUAGAAUCUACAAAACAUAAAUAACAUCAACUUUGUAGGAAAAUGAAUAAAGUUAUAUCUUUUUAUUGAUGAAAAUGCUGUGACAAAGAGAACUGGAAUGAGAAGAUGGUUCACUACUCUCUAAGAGUAACAAAGGAUAAAAAAAUGAAGAAUCCAAAUCUUCCUCUUUUGCCCAUUUUGGUAAAGCCCCUUCCUCACUCGCAUACAAACUUCUCUUAUGUACAGAGUAAUCUCCAACCAAUAAACAGCUCUCAAUACCUAAACAAGUGAAGCUGAAGGAGCCAAAAUGAAUGUAAGAAGAACAUAGACAGAGAGGUUCAAUUCAGCAGGGCUAUAUUCCAUGUUCACUUAGAUUCUUAAGAGUUCACUUUAACACAUAAUCUUGUCAACCUCUACGCAGGCUACACCGGAGCUAGAGUAUGGUCGUAUGAACAUUGGAAGCAGACCUUCAAAGAGGAAACCAAGCGGCGGCAUUGAGUCUCUCCGUGCCAUCCCAUGGAUCUUUGCUUGGACUCAAACGAGAUUCCAUCUCCCUGUGUGGCUUGGAUUCGGAGCAGCCAUCAGGCACGUGGUUGAGAAAGACGUGAAGAACCUACACAUGCUUCAGGACAUGUACCAACACUGGCCUUUCUUUAGAGUCACUAUUGAUCUAAUCGAAAUGGUGUUCGCUAAAGGAGAUCCAGGUAUCGCUGCCUUGUACGAUAAGCUUCUUGUCUCAGAGGAGCUAUGGCCUUUUGGGGAGAAACUCAGAGCUAACUUCGAAGAAACCAAGAAACUCGUCCUCCAGGUUAAUACAGAAAUAAACAGAGCUUUCUUGAUUUUCUUGAUUGGUUACAUCAAACUCAGAACUAAUCGAUUUUGUUGUGUUGCAGACUGCUGGGCACAAGGAUCUGCUUGAAGGAGAUCCUUACUUGAAGCAGAGACUGAGACUACGUAACUCUUACAUCACCACACUCAAUGUCUGUCAAGCUUACACACUGAAGAGGAUCCGUGACCCGAGCUACAAUGUGACUCUACGACCUCACAUCUCUAAGGAGAUUGCUGAAUCGAGCAAAGAACUCAUCGAGCUUAACCCGACGAGCGAGUACGCGCCUGGACUUGAAGAUACACUCAUCCUGACCAUGAAGGGUGUCGCUGCUGGUCUACAGAACACCGGUUGAGUAAAAAAAAACAGAGAUGAGCC
rnacentral:lncRNA from 1 species